AUUGAACGCUGGCGGCAGGCCUAAUACAUGCAAGUCGAACGAGUGGCGGACGGGUGAGUAACGUCUGGGAAACUGCUCGAUGGAGGGGGAUAACUACUGGAAACGGUAGCUAAUACCGCAUACCAGCCGCUGAGCGCUGAUGGGAUUAGCUAGUAGGUGGGGUAACGGCUCACCUAGGCCACGAUCCCUAGCUGGUCUGAGAGGGUGACCGGCCACACUGGAACUGAGACACGGUCCAGACUCCUACGGGAGGCAGCAGUAGUGAAUAUUGCGCAAUGGGCGAAAGCCUGAUGCAGCAAUGCCGCGUGUGUGAAGAAGGCCUUCGGAUUGUAAAAUACUGUCAGCAAGGAAGCGUUACUCACAGAGGAAGCAACGGCUAACUCCGUGCCAGCAGCCGCGGUAAUAC
rnacentral:rRNA from 1 species